rnacentral:rRNA from 14 species
GACGGAAAGACCCCGUGAACCUUUACUAUAGCUUCACAGUGAACUUUGAGCAUGUUUGUGUAGGAUAGCUGGGAGGCUUUGAAGUGGGAACGCCAGUUCUCAUGGAGCCAACCUUGAAAUACCAGCCUGACAUGUUUGAGGUUCUAACUUGGUCCCCUUAUCGGGGAUGAGGACACUGUGUGGUGGGUAGUUUGACUGGGGCGGUCUCCUCC